AAUUGUUGAUAGAAUUGCUUCCUUCGGGGAUAAUAAUUCUGCAGGGCCAUCAGGGAAGGUUACUGAAAUGGAAAUGGAUUCUGGAGACAGGGAAAAUAAUGGGCAUUGCUGUUUAGUUGGUGGGGUUGAUUUGGGCACAGAAGGGAUCAGUAAUGAGCAGUUUAUUCAACUGUGCAUCUUUCAUUUGAUGGUUCUGCUUCACAGAACAAUGGAAAAUUCAGAAACAUGUCGCUUAUUUGUGGAGAAGUCGGGAAUUGAAACAUUAUUGAAGCUUCUAUUGCAGCCAAGUAUUGUCCAGUCAUCUGAAGGGAUGUCUAUUGCUUUACAU
rnacentral:misc_RNA from 1 species